rnacentral:rRNA from 1 species
UUGACGAGGGAACAACUGUCUCAAUUUAAUUUUUUUGGAAAUUUAUUUUUAAGUUAGAAAGCUUAAAUUGUUUUAAAAGACGAGAAGACCCUAUAGAGUUUUAUAAAUUGCUUUAGUUAAUACUUUUUAGUAUAUUUGGGGUUAAUUAUUUCAUUUUAUUUUGUUGGGGUGAUAGAAAAAUUAAAUAAACUUUUUUUAUUUAAAACAAAAAUAUUUGAUUAUAUGAUCCGCUUAGGCGAUUAAAAGAUUAAAUUACCUUAGGGAUAACAGCG